ACUUCCUUCGGACUAAGGAAUGUGCCUUCUUAUCUCUCUUGUUGAACUGUGAGAGAAGAGCCGAGCCGAAGAAUGCCAGCUUCGAGCGAUGGACUUUGCUGCAAUUAUGCUAAAACCAAGGAAAUUUCUCUUUAACUGUUCUGAGGAUCUCCAAGGAAGGAGGUGCAUCCCCAUCAUCUGCCACAUCCUAUGAGAACUGGGUCCACAACUGCCACGAACCCUGGUUCUCCAACUCAAGAGGCUGCCACUAUUUAAAGACUUAAACUCCUGGUGGAAAAUUUCCUAACACUUUACACAAUCAGCAAGAUUGGAGCCAGAGAAGAUGGAAAAUGGUUACCUGCAGGCAUGCUUUCUAUGUCAUGUAAUCAGGAAGUGAAGCUUACAGACUUUUCCCCAGUGACAGACAUUGUGACUCAGCCAGAUUCUGCUUUUUAUGAAAUCAAAGUACGAGCCCAGACUUCAAGUCAUCAGCGCACCACCCAAGUUUUGCUUCUUCCUUCCUUCCUGCCAGCAGACUGAAGCUGGAAGUGUGUGUUUCAAGCCCUUCUCAGGACUGGAGGAGGCUGUGCUCCACUGGAGGGAACUGAGAGGAUUGACUUCCCUUGGAGGCAAGCUGGUUUCAAUGAGAUCUGGCCAAUUUUGCUAACGACCUGAAUCUGGAGACAUGCUAAAUUCAAAAGUCAAUGGGAGGAAUGGUGGUAGUUUCACGUUAAACGGCUCACAGUCCAGUUGCUGAGGAAGUGUAAAUCUCCAGAAUUCCUUAGUGGAUCACAUCAGGCUUGUGUAAGUGGUGUGUUCAAAAUGCUUGUUCUUAUGCCAAAUAUACGUGUUAUGAAAUACAAAUAAAAAAAUUACGGGGCUCUGCAAUAUUUGUCAUGUGGAAAG